rnacentral:rRNA from 1 species
UCCAGACUCCUACGGGAGGCAGCAGUGGGGAAUAUUGCACAAUGGGGGAAACCCUGAUGCAGCAACGCCGCGUGAGUGAGGAAGUAUUUCGGUAUGUAAAGCUCUAUCAGCAGGGAAUAGAAAAGAAGGUACCUGAAAAAGAAGCCCCGGCUAACUACGUGCCAGCAGCCGCGGUAAUACGUAGGGGGCAAGCGUUAUCCGGAUUUACUGGGUGUAAAGGGAGCGUAGGCGGUGAUGCAAGUCAGAAGUGAAAGCCCGCAGCUCAACUGCGGGACUGCUUUUGAAACUGUAUGACUAGAUUGCAGGAGAGGUAAGUGGAAUUCCUAGUGUAGCGGUGAAAUGCGUAGAAAUUAGGAGGAACACCAGUGGCGAAGGCGGCUUACUGGACUGUAAAUGACGCUGAGGCUCGAAAGCGUGGGGAGCAAACAGGAUUAGAUACCCUAGUAU